GUAACGGUUCAAAUGUCUAUGAGACAUGCUGCCUAAUGUCUCCUCAUUUUAGACCUUUGAUCCUCCCAUUUUACUAAUAAAUAAAUAUAUAUUUGAUUAAACAAACUUAAAAAAUUAUUAUUUUUAUUAUAUGAGUUAAAUAGUUUAAGUUUCAAAUUCUGAAACGUCCCCAAAAAAAACUAUUUACUUACAUUCUGAAUUUAAAAGAAUAUACAUUUCAAAUUCUGAGUUGUCACCAAAAAAAAUUCUAUCAAUGAAAGCCCUAAUCGUCACCAAAAAUAUAUAUUAUAUUUUAUAUUUCAAAGAAUUUAAAUUUCAAAUUCUGAAUUUAUUACCAUCAAUUACAUCUAAAAUUAUUAGAUUACUUUUCACAAUAUAAAUUCAUAAUUUAAAAAACAAAUACUUUUAAAAUUACUGACUUAAAUUUAUUUAUUUAUCUUCUAUUUUGCUAAAAUUAUAUUUUUUUACUCUCCAAUUUUUAAAACUAAUAUUUUGGUUCGCUAUUGAACAACGCUGCAUUAUUUUUAGUUUUCAAAACUUUACUUUCAUUAGAGAGGUACUUCAUUUCAAAAUUAUUUUACCAAACAAAAUUUAUCUCAAAAUAAACAUCAUUUUACUUUUUCAAUAUCAAUUUCUUUCAGAAUGCCAUUAAAUAAUUAAAACUUCUUUCAAGUCAUUAUUCUCCUAUACAUUUAUGACAAUUUAUAAAAACCUUAAACUAUUCUUAUUUUAGGAUGGAAUGAGUAAGCAAUCAAUAGACAUUUAUGAACUAAUAAAAUAUAUCAUUGUUUUUAUAAUUAAUUUUAUUUUUUAUUUUAUUUGUAUUAAAAUAUUACAAAUAUAUUAAAACAAACUUUUAGAAUUUUUUUUCAAAAUAACCAUUAUUUUCAAAAAUAAUUCCAAAAUAACCAAUUAUUCAAAAAUAUUACCAAAAUAAUCAGGUUUGAUAGAGGAUGCGGCAGAUGAAUUGACGUACCCCCAAUGCAUGAAGAGGAGGCGCCAAUAGCAUUGACGCAUGCAUUAGACUCCUCGUGAGGAGGCGCCAAUGCUAGUGGCGCCUACAUUGGGCCUCAUGAGGAGGCGCCAAUGUUAGUGGCGCCUAUGUAUGUUUGAUUGGUGUAUGCGCCAAUUCAUCUGGCGCAUACACCCCCUGCUAUUUUUUUUUAAUUAUUAAUAUUUAAUUUUUAUUAUUUAAUAAAAAAGAAAUAGUAAUGAGAAAAAAAUUCAUUGAUGAUGUAAUAAUUUGUUACAUUGGACUGACAAUAAACUAAUGACCCGUCCGAUUAUAACGUCCACCUGUUCCACAUCCUGGUGCGUUAGUUUAUCUCCUAGGUCUUCCACGAUUUUCUUGAGGUGUUUGGGGUCUUUGUGUGCUGACCUGAUCGAGCGAUGGUUGGUUGGAAGGUCCAAGGGAAGUUCCAGCGGUAUUCGAUAGAUGUGUCAUCAUUUGCUCCCAAUAUCCGGAGGGGCUCUGGCCAACGGCGCUUCCGUAAUGGAGUUCGGUGCUCAUGUCAUCGUAGUUAGGGCGUUGUGGUUGAGUGAAUUAGGGACGAUAUAGUUGCCCAAAUUGGGUCAUUGAGUCGUUUUGGAAACAAAGCAAUGGUUUCUGGGGCGACUAUAGUUAAACAAUGGUUGGGUGUUAUUGAUGGGGGGCUACGAUGAAGUGACCCAUAAACGUGAUGGACCAUAAUAAUGCACCAAUCUUGUAGGUCAGCCAAAAGGACUUGUUGAUAUGAAUCAAUUUGUACUUAUGAACCAAAUGAUGCUUUUUAUAAUCUUGAAUUAAUGAGACGUGAGCCUUUGAGGCAACCUAUGCAUGGAGUAGAUGAUGUCAUUGACUACAAUGACAUGUACCAUGCUCAAUGAAUGAAUAACAAUAAUAUGCAUCUUAAUCCAGUGAUCCACUUAAUAAAGAAAAGCUUCUUUGUGAUUAUUCUAUUCAGUUGAUUAUAGUGGAUUAAAUCUGUGUGUAUAAGGUGAAAUCACUUUGGAGGGUGGACUAUAGUAGCUUUGAGUUUCAAGCGAACGAUAAUAAAAUACUUGUUUUUUUAUCUCUUUGUUAUUAACUUUUAAGUGGUGUUCUUGAGUUGGUAAAAAACUUUUGUUUUAUAAAACUCAAUUCAACCCCCUUUCUUAUGUUUUCCACACCUUCGGGGUUUGUUUUAAUUCUGACGGGGCUACCACUAGCAGAUUGCUUACUAAGUGUGGGGGUGUUUUUCGUGACAGUCAAGAAAGAUGACUUUGUGGCUUUCAUAAGACUAUUGGUGAUUGCAAUAGUCUUGCUACAGAAUUCUGGGGUGUCCUUAUGGGUUUGGAGCUUGCUUGGAAGAGAGAUUUCAAGAACCUUAUUGUUCAAGAUGGCAAAAAGACAGUAGCAGAUGCUCUCCAAGGGUCGCCUUUGAAGUCUAAACAAGGUUCGACUUUGGCUAGGCAUAUUCUUCUUCUCCUUCAGCAUUUUAAAGAAGUGCAUUCAUUCACAUUUUUAGAAAAACUAUUAAGUGUGCUGAUUUUUUAACCAAACUAGAUUUGUCCAGUUUUGAUGGUUGUAUCUGAUUCGAUGAUAAUUUUUUUAGUAACGGUUCAAAUGUCUAUGAGACAUGCUGCCUAAUGUCUCCUCAUUUUAGACCUUUGAUCCUCCCAUUUUACUAAUAAAUAAAUAUAUAUUUGAUUAAACAAACUUAAAAAAUUAUUAUUUUUAUUAUAUGAGUUAAAUAGUUUAAGUUUCAAAUUCUGAAACGUCCCAAAAAAAAACUAUUUACUUACAUUCUGAAUUUAAAAGAAUAUACAUUUCAAAUUCUGAGUUGUCACCAAAAAAAAUUCUAUCA
rnacentral:lncRNA from 1 species